UACGUAGGGUGCGAGCGUUGUCCGGAAUUACUGGGCGUAAAGAGCUCGUAGGUGGUUUGUCGCGUUGUCCGUGAAAACUCACAGCUUAACUGUGGGCGUGCGGGCGAUACGGGCAGACUGGAGUACUGCAGGGGAGACUGGAAUUCCUGGUGUAGCGGUGAAAAUGCGCAGAUAUCAGGAGGAACACCGGUGGCGAAGGCGGGUCUCUGGGCCGAUACUGACGCUGAGGAGCGAAAGCGUGGGGAGCAAACAGG
rnacentral:rRNA from 1 species